rnacentral:rRNA from 1 species
UACGGAGGGAGCUAGCGUUGUUCGGAAUUACUGGGCGUAAAGCGCGCGUAGGCGGCUUUGUAAGUUAGAGGUGAAAGCCCGGGGCUCAACCCGGAAUUGCCUUUAAGACUGCAUCGCUAGAAUUGUGGAGAGGUAAGUGGAAUUCCGAGUGUAGAGGUAGAAAUUCGUAGAUAUUCGGAAGAACACCAGUGCGAAGGCGACUUACUGGCCCGAGUACUGACGACUGAGGCGGCGAAAGCGUGGGAGCAAACAGG